ensembl:lncRNA
CCAUUUUUGGCACCGUUUCCCCGCUGAUUUUGGGGAUAUUUUGCCCAUUUUUGGCACCGUUUCCCCUCUGAUUUUGGGUCUAUUUUGCCCAUUUUUGGCACCGUUUCCCCGCUGAUUUUGGGGAUAUUUUGGGCAGUUUUGGCACCGUUUCCCCGCUGAUUUUGGGGUGAUUUUGUCCAUUUUUGGCACCGUUUCCCCGCUGAUUUUGGGGAUAUUUUGCCCAUUUUUGGCACCGUUUCCCCGCUGAUUUUGGGGUGAUUUUGCCCAUUUUUGGCACUGUUUCCCCACUGAUGUUGGGCUGAUUUUGGGGCCAUUUCUCACNNNNNNNNNNNNNNNNNNNNAUUCCCAAAUUUUCCCCCCAAAAUUCCCAAAUUUAUCCCAAAAUUCACCUGGAUCCCCGGAGGGAAUUUUGGGAAUAUUUUGGGAAUAUUUUUGGGAAUUUUUUGGGAAUUUUUGGGAAAUUUUUUGGGAAUUUUUGGGGAUAAUUUUGGGGAUUUUUUUGGAUAUUUUUGGGAAUAUUUUUGGGUUAUUUUGUGGGAAUUUUUUGGGAAUUUUUGGGGAUAAUUUUGGGAAUAUUUUGGGAAUAUUUUUGGGGAUAUUUUGGGUUAUUUGGGGAUAUUUUGGGCAGUUUUGGCACCGUUUCCCCUCUGAUUUUGGGGAUAUUUUGGGUUAUUUUUCAGGAAUAGUUUGACCCAUUUUUGGCCAUUUUUGGCACCGUUUCCCUGCUGAUUUUGGGUCUAUUUUGCCCAUUUUUGGCACCGUUUCCCCGCUGAUUUUGGGGUGAUUUUGUCCAUUUUUGGCACCGUUUCCCCGCUGAUUUUGGGUCUAUUUUGCCCAUUUUUGGCACCUUUUCCCCGCUGAUUUUGGGGAUAUUUUGCCCAUUUUUGGCACCUUUUCCCCGCUGAUUUUGGCUCGUUUCUGGGCAGUUUUUCGACCCCGGGCAGGUGCUGUACACCUACGAGUCCCCGGCGGGGUACGGGCUGAUCGCGCUGCAGUUCGGAGCCUUCGUUUGGUUCUGCGCCGCCGUGGGCGCCACCCUGAGCGCGGUGCCGGAGAGACGCCAGUUCUACCUGCCCUUCCUGGGGGCUUAUGCGUUCUGGUGAGUGCCAAAAUCACACCUGGACACACCUGGGGACACCUGGGGACACCUGGGGGGGUCACAGCCACACCUGGGGCGCCACCCUGAGCGCGGUGCCGGAGCGACGCCAGUUCUACCUGCCCUUCCUGGGGGCUUAUGCGUUCUGGUGAGUGCCAAAAUCACACCUGAGCACACCUGGGACACACCUGGGGACACCUGGGGACACCUGGGGACACUUGGGGACACCUGGACACACCUGGGGACACCUGGGGACACCUGGGAUACACCUGGGGACACCUGGGGGGGAUAAAAACACACCUGGGCACACCUGAGAUACACCUGGGCACACCUGGGGACACCUGGACACACCUGGGGACACCUGGGGGGGUCACAGCCACACCUGGGCACACCUGAGAUACACCUGGGGGGAUAAAAACACACCUGGGGACACCUGAGACACACCUGGACACACCUGGGGACACCUGGGGGUUACCUGAGGACACCUGGAGGGGUUUGGGGACACACCUG